UAUGCCUGUAAAAAAAAGGAUUAAAGACAGAAUAAAAAGGAAAGAUGCAGGACAAUCAAAGGGACUUGACAUGGAUAUUGCCAAAUUACUAAGGAAAGGUGUGUAUUCUAAAUACAAAAACAAUGAGGUUCUGACCAUAGAGACACCUUAUCGGCAAGGGACAAACAUUUCUCAGUCUCAACCUUGCGGAGAUACCUGAUAAAACUUGGAUUUAAACUUAAGAUGGUUAACAAAAGAGCUGCUGUAAUGGAAUUGUCAGUGGCGUAUAGAAUAUUUGAGGAAAAUUAAAAAAAUUUGGGAGGAAGAAAGAUCCAUAUAUUAUUUAGCCGAAACAUGAUAUGAUACAUUUAUGAUUGAUGUAUGAUUUCCAUUCUCUGGGAAAAAAGUCCCCUUUUUGCCAUAGUAAGAAAACCAUAUUUUUAUUAAUAAAACAAGUUUAAAAUUUUGUUUUUUACAGCUUACUGCCCCUGUUGUCCUUCAGUGAUACAAUAAAGACUGCUUCUUCCACCAUUCUCUGGGAAAAACCCUUUUUUGCUAUGCUUACUACCCCUGUUGUCCUUCAGCAACACAAUGAAGACUGUUUCUUCCUCCAUUCUCUGGAAAAAAGUCCCUUUUUUGCCAUACUUACUGCCCCUGUUUGUCCUUCAGCGACACAAUAAAGUAUAUAUAAUGUAAUGCUUUAGAAUCCAUAUGCUGAUGUGCGAGAUGAAGUUGGAAUCCAUGGCGGCAACAGAGAAACUGUUUCCUUCCUUAAUGGAAGAAACUGCUAAAGAACAAUGGCAAAAAAACAGAAUUAACAAAAUUUGUAUUAACUUUUUGGGCCAGAUUCAAAAGAGUGGUUAAAUUUAUAAAAGUAUUUAGUAUCCUCACUGUAGUUUUA